rnacentral:rRNA from 1 species
GUCCACGCCGUAAACGAUGAACACUAGGUGUAGGUGGAGUUAAAUCUAUCUGUGCCAAAGCAAACGCGUUAAGUGUUCCGCCUGGGGAGUACGGCCGCAAGGCUAAACUCAAAGGAAUUGACGGGGCCCGCACAAGCAGCGGAGCGUGUGGUUUAAUUCGAUGCAACACGAAGAACCUUACCCGGGUUUGACAUGCACGUAGUAGUGAAGCGAAAGUGGAACGACUCUUCGGAGAGCGUGCACAGGUGCUGCAUGGCUGUCGU